AUACGGAGGAUCCGAGCGUUAUCCGGAUUUAUUGGGUUUAAAGGGUGCGCAGGCGGCCAUUUAAGUCAGCGGUUAAAUCGUGGGGCUCAACCCCAUUCUGCCGUUGAUACUGGGUGGCUUGAUUGCGGUCGAGGUUGGCGGAAUUCGUUGUGUAGCGGGGAAAUGCAUAGAUAUGACGAAGAACACCGAUUGCAUAGGCAGCUGACCAGACCGCAAAUGACGCUCAUGCACGAAAGUGCGGGGAUCGAACAGGAUUAGAUACCCUGGUAGUCCGCACAGUAAACGAUGAAUACUUGUUUUCGGCGAUAUAAUGUCGGAGGCAAAGCGAAAGCGAUAAGUAUUCCACCUGGGGAGUACGCCGGCAACGGUGAAACUCAAAGGAAUUGACGGGG
rnacentral:rRNA from 1 species